UAGUUAUUCAUGCUAUGCUU
rnacentral:siRNA from 1 species